AUUAGCGGCAUUUCUUUAUCAGAAGCACUGCUAAGCAGGAUCAGGCCUGGUAAGUACUUGGGAGGGAGACUGGAAGGGAAUACCAGGUGCUGUAGGCU
rnacentral:rRNA from 1 species